AGGAGAGAAAAUUGUCCCAUUCCAGGAUGUGCACGAGUCCCUGAGAUGGACUGCCAGAAACCUACAAUAAUUGAAGAAACAGAACUGUGGACACCUGCAGUAACCAAAGAAAUGGGCCUGUGGACUGGCCAAGAGAAGGCCUUAGGCGUGCACUAGUGAAACCAUCAGUUCUCCAAGUGAAACUAUGGGCUGAACCACUAGAACCCAAAGUUGAAUGAGCAAGCUGGAGACCCAGUUCAAGUCUGCAGGCAGGAAAAAGCCAGUGUCCCAGUUUGAAGAUGGCUAGGCAGGAGGAAUUCUCUCUUCCUCAAAGGUCAGUCUUUUUGUCCUAUUCAGGCCUUCAACUGAUUGGAUGAAGGUCAUCCAGGUUAGGGAAGGCAAUCUGCUUUACUCAAUAUUUUGAUUUAAAUGUUAGUAUCAUCUAAAAACACCCUUACAGAAACGCCCAGAAUAAUGUUUGUCCAAAUAUCUGGGCACCCCAUGACACUUAAAAUUAACUAUCACAAAGACUUAAUGUACUGAGUUGAUUUCACAGCUCGGUAAUGAUAUGCACUUUUUAAACUAGUUUUAUAAUUUGUAAACUGGUUAGUGGGAUUGUAUCAUUAUAACGUGUCUGUAUUUGAAUAUGGUUUUGCCAUUUAUACUCUCAGUUCAUGGUAAAGAUUAGUUUAAUAGAAAUUCCCGUGUCCUUUUCUCCAUGCUCCAGCUAAGUACAUUUUCUAACAUGAACUUACUUCUCCUUUCCUGGCAUGUCUAUCUCCUUUUACAUAUAUCCUGAUUACUCCUUUCCUGGUGUGUCUGUCUCCUUUUAUGUGUAUCUUAAUUACUUUAUCUUGGGCCUGUUAAGGAAAGGAAGUGCUAUCACCUUUGAAGGACAUUAUCUCAAGUAUCAUCAUGAUCUCCCCCUCAAUGAAAGCCUUGUUACAGAUGUGGCUACAGGGUAAUUUAUGCUUAAAAUAUUAAAAAUUAAUAUUUAAUAUUAAAUAUUAAAAAUAUCUCACAAAUAACACAGUGCAUGGUUUAACAGCAAAUUAGAUAAAACUGUAAAUUGGACUAGAAGAGAAUAUUUAGAAUAAAGAUUGGAUAAAUGAAAUGAUAAAAAAAAAUGGAGACCAAAAGAAAUAAACUUUGCAAGGUAAAGUUUAUUUGUACUUACUUAAAAUUUUAGAUGAAUGGGACUGGGGAAAUGGGGCUGAGAAAAUAUUCCGAAAGAUAAUAGCUUAGAAGACCUCUGAACUGCAAACGAGAAAAAUAAAAAACUGUCUAGCUACAUCAUAGGAGAAUUGUUGAGAAGUAAAAUAUAUAGAGAGAGGUAGAUAAACAAUAAAAUGUAUAAUCUUGGAGUUCCUAGUGUGGCUCAGCGGGUUAUGACCUGACCAGUAUCCAUAAAGAUGCUGUUUUGAUCCCUGGCCUUGCUAAAAGGGUUAAGGAUCUACUGUUGCUGUGAGCUGUGGUAUAGGUCAGAGAUGGGGCUCAUCUGGUGUUGCUGUGGCUGUGGCAUAGGCCGGCAGUUGCAGCUCUGAUUUGACUCCUAUCCUGGGAACUUCCAUAGGCCUGGAGUGUGGCCCUCAAAAGCAAAAGCAAACAAACAAAAGAUACACCUUAACCUUUUAAAAAACUGAUAAUGAAGAAAAAGCUGCUGAAAGAGGUUAGAAAACCCUGUAUAUUAUUGAUAGGAAACAGCAAUACAAAUGACAAAAGAUUUCUCACCUGAAAUCUUGGAGGCUAGGAGUAUAUGGCAAGAAAUUGUUCAAGUGAUUAAAAUACAUAAUUGUCAACAGCAAAUUCUAUAUAGAUUGAAAACAUGCUUUGGGAAUGAAGGGGAAAUAUUUUCUGUGAUAAAGGAAAACUGAGAAUUUAUUGCAGAUGACCUUCUUCAAACAAUUGCUGGAAUUGCUGUGGUGGCUCAGUGGGUUAAGGACCCAUUGUUGUCUUUGUGAGCAUAUGAGUUCAAUCCUUGGCCUCAUUCAGUGGGUUAAGGAUCUGGCAUUGCCAAAACCUGCUUCGUGGGUUGCAGAUGUAGCCCAUAUCCGGUGUUGUCAUGGCUGUGUCAUAGACACCAGCUGCAGCUCUGAUUCGACCCCUGGCCUGGGACUUUCAUAUGCCACAGGUGCAGCUGUAAAAAGAAAACAAACAAACAAAUAAAUAAAACAGUAAAAGAGCAAACCUGGCGGUUUAAAAAACAAAAACAGUUUCCUUUGUGGCACAGCAGAAACAAGCUGACUAGUAUCCUUGAGGAUGCGGGUUCAGCCCCUGGCCUCACGCAGUGGGUCAGUGAUCUAGUGUUGCCGUGAGCUAUGGUGUAGGUCGAAGACAUGGCUCAGAUCCCGAGUUGCUGCGGCUCUGGCGUAGUCUGGCAGCUGUAGCUCUGAUUUGACCCAUAGCCUGGGAACUUCCACAUGCCAUGGGUGCAGCCCUAAAAAUAAAUGAAUGAAUAAAUUAAAUAAAUAAAUAAAUAAACCAAAACUAAUUGCUAUAGGAGAGUUUUCAAGGAAAUGAUAACAGAAGGAGUCUUGGAAAUUCAGGAAAGAAAGAAGGAAAUGGUUUAAAAAAGUAUAAUAGACUGUUGUAAAUUUCUUAAAUUGUAUUUCAGGAGUUCCCUGGUGGCCUACAAGUUAAAGGAUCUGGCAUUGUCACUGCUGUAACACAGCUCUGAUCCCGGGCUCAGGAAUUUUUGUAUGCCAUGGGCACAGACAAAAAAAAAAAAAAAA
rnacentral:lncRNA from 1 species